rnacentral:lncRNA from 1 species
UUCAUUGGUGACAUGUUGGUGCUUUGGUCAAACAUGAUGAUAUUAAUAAUGAAUGUAUUCAAUUCAUUGGUUACAUGUCGGACUCACUUGAAGAACGUUCCCGACACUUACUACGCAAGCAUCUGGAAGGAAAUUCACGGGGAUCCACACACCAUCCUUUCUAACUUUCAAACUUCUAAGUUGUUGACUUGGAGAAGAAUGGUAAGCGCAUCGAGUCUAGUGGCAUUUUAGGGGUAAGAUAAGGCUUUGAGACUAUCAGGUUAUGGGUUUGAUUCUUAGUGGAGAUGGAUAUGAUCAAGUGGUUCCGUUGGCACGAUGAUACUCUAGUGGUCUGUCAGUGAUCCAAAUUUGCCGUUAAAAAAAUGAUAAGUCCAACAACAUCAGAGUGAGGGGUAAGACCAUGGGCGGGGCUUUAUUGGGGCCAGGGUGGCCCCGGCUCACACCGAUUUUUCGUUCGUUAUGUCAAUUUUAUCAAUUUUUUUAGUGUAAAAUAUUGGAUUUAAUUUUAAGAGUGCGCCCCCCUCCAAGUUUUCAUUCAAGUUUUAAGUUAACAUUUAAAUAUCAGAUAUGCAAUUGAAAAUUUAGGUUUUGUAUCGAAAGACAGAAUGUAGUUUCUUUUUGAGUUAGGGAAAUAAUUAUAAUUUGAGCAUGUGGCAAAUGGAUCUAUAAAUUGUGAAUGGGUGCUACUUACUCAAUCUAAGAAUAUACAAGGUUUUGGCUCAAAUGUGUAAUAUGGAAAUCACAUUAGCAAAUUCACAUGAAGUUCAUUUUUAUUGAUAGAAACUCUGAAAAUGGUUGUGUAUGUGUAUUGAUGCAUCUCAUGAGAAUUGAGAAGUUUAAUAAUUAAAACACUUCACACAUGACUCGAUCAGUUUUAAAGAAAAGGAUAAUGUAGAGCUGAAUACUUAUUAGUAUUUUUUCUUCUCAUAACCCCUUGUAUCGGUUAAUUCUAAAAACACAUGCUUCAGUUAGUGAAGUAUCCUAAUAAUGUGAAUGGGUUCCAAGAAUGACGAAAGCUGUAUACAUAUUUUUGUUGGAUUAUUGAGUACACAUAUAUGUUUUGACUUUUAGAAUUCACCGCUUCAAUCUUUAUAAAAAAUAAUGUGUCAACUUUUUUAUUUUGUAGUUGGAAUUGAACUCUAGUUUUCAGUAGUUAAGUUGUAACUUUUUAUCAUAUUUUUGAAUCGUCUUAAUUUUCUAGGAAUCUAUCCUUACUAGUUACUACCAAAAUGAAUCACAAUCAGCAAUCAAACGAUGUUAGACAUGAUGAUGAAAACACACUCUCGUUGCUUUCUUAAUGGACUACACCCCAACUUAUGGUGUAAAUGUUAAACAUCAGGAGUAUUUUGCUGAUAACCCUUCAGCUGGACUAGAAUCCUCUUCAAAAGACGAGUAAGUCCGCUUGCUGUUAUGGUUUUAGCAUUUUUAGAUAGAUAAAAUUGAAUGCUUGUGUAAUUAAGGAACUGCUGAUGUAUUUGAGCAUGCAUGGAUCAUGUCAAUACUCCUUUGAUGGAAAAAUGUAUUUGAACCUUGUUUAGUUAUUGUGCAAAAGUGUGUUAAAAUACAUUUUUCAUGUU